rnacentral:rRNA from 1 species
AGCGGCGGACGGGUGAGUAACGCGUGGGUAACCGUGCCUCAUACAGGGGAUAACAGUUGGAAACGGCUGCUAAUACCGCAUAAGCGCACAGUACCGCAUGGUACCGUGUGAAAAACUCCGGUGGUAUGAGAUGGACCCGCGUCUGAUUAGCUAGUUGGUGGGGUAACGGCCUACCAAGGCGACGAUCAGUAGCCGACCUGAGAGGGUGACCGGCCACAUUGGGACUGAGACACGGCCCAA